GUGGGGAAUUUUGGACAAUGGGCGCAAGCCUGAUCCAGCAAUGCCGCGUGCAGGAAGAAGGCCUUCGGGUUGUAAACUGCUUUUGUACGGAACGAAACGGUCCGGGUUAAUACCCUGGGCUAAUGACGGUACCGUAAGAAUAAGCACCGGCUAACUACGUGCCAGCAGCCGCGGUAAUACGUAGGGUGCAAGCGUUAAUCGGAAUUACUGGGCGUAAAGCGUGCGCAGGCGGUUUUGUAAGACAGGCGUGAAAUCCCCGGGCUCAACCUGGGAAUUGCGCUUGUGACUGCAAGGCUGGAGUGCGGAAGAGGGGGAUGGAAUUCCGCGUGUAGCAGUGAAAUGCGUAGAUAUGCGGAGGAACACCGAUGGCGAAGGCAAUCCCCUGGGCCUGCACUGACGCUCAUGCACGAAAGCGUGGGGAGCAAACAGGAUUAGAAACCCCAGUAGUCC
rnacentral:rRNA from 1 species